GUACGUACAUUUUAUGUUACAUAAAAAAUUCUCAACAAAUGAUAUUAAUAACUAUAAUCAUAAGUACAACAAAAUGUGUCUCCAAAACUGUAUUCCAACCUCUAAAUUUUUAUUUUUAUUGAAUAUAAUUGACAUACAAUGUUAUGUUACUUUCAGGUGUACAACAUUUCAUUUAUAUACAUUAUGAAAUGAUCGCCAUGAUAAGUCCAGCUGCCAUCUGGCACCAUACAAAGUUAUUACAAUAUUAUUGACUAUAUUCCCUAUGCUGCACAUUGUAUCCCCAUGACUUGUUUUGUAACUAGAAGUUUGUACCACUUCAUCCCCUUCACCUAUUUCGCCCAGCCCCCUACCCCAUCCCCUCCGGUAACCAGCAGUUCGUUCCCUAUAUCUAUGAGUCUGCUGCUGUUUAGUUUCGUUUGUUCACUUGUUUUGUUCUUUAGAUUCCACAUGAGUGAAAUCAUAUGGUAUUUGUCUUCCUCUGUCUAACUUAUUUCACUUAGUAUAAUACCCUCUACAUCCAUCCAUGUUGUUGAAAAUGGCAAAAUUUCAUUCUUGUUUAUGGCUGAGUAAUAUUGCAUUGUGUAUUUGUAUAUUUGUAUAUUCACAUAUAUUUGCAUAUGUAUAUAUACACCACAUCUUCUUUAUCCAUUCAUCUAUUGGUGGACACUUAAGUUGCUUCCUUAUUUUGACUAUUGUGAAUAAUGCUGCCAUGAACAUAACAGUGCAUAUAUCUUUUUCAAUUAGUGUUUUUGUUUUCUUCAGCUAAAUACUCACAUGUGGAAUAGCUGGAUUGUAUGAUAGCUCUAUUUCUAAUUUUUUGAGGAGCCUCCCUACUGUUUUCCAUGGUGGCUGCACCACUUUACAUUCCUCCCAACAGUGCACAAGUGUUCCCUUUCCUCCACAUCCUCACUAACACUGGUUAUUUGUUGUCUUUUUGAUGACAGCCAUUCUGACGGGUGUGAGGUGAUAUCUCAUGUUGUGCUUUGGAUUUGCAUUUCCGUAAAGAUUAACAAUGAUGGACAUCUUUUCAUAUGUCUGAUGCCCAUCUGCAUAUCUUCUUUGGAAAAAUGUCUAUUCAGAUCCUCUGCAUAGUUUUUAAUUGAAUUGGAUUUUUUUAUAUUGAGUUGUAUAUGUUCUUUAUAUAUUUGGACAUUAAUCCUUUAUCAGAUAUAUCAUUUGCAAAUAUCUUCUCCUAUUCAUUAGGUUGCCUUUUUGUUGGUGGUGGUUUCCUUCACUGUGCAAAAGCUUUUUAGUUUGAUGUGGCUCCAUUUGUUAAUUUUCCAAGUUCUAACCUUCAUUGUUCACCUUAUAUGUGGUUGGAAAUGGCUGUGCUCAUUGCAUAUAAGACUGUCUCUAGAGGGAACAUAUCUGUGGCCAGGUAAAAAACCAGGUUGGUCAAUCCUGUGCAUCCUUACUGCCCAAAAGCUGCUCCCACAGUUAUUAUUCUUAUCAGGCUUCUGUGACCUGUCCUAACUAAGGCAGUGGCACAUUUGAUACAUCUAUAGAAGAACAGAGAAAUUGCCCCUAAUUUAGAAAAUCAGUUCUACGACAUUGUUCAAAACUCUAACCUGAAGGGGUAAAUCUACCUUGAUUAUUAUCAUAGAUAGCAAGACCAAUACCGUAAUAUAAUUUAGCAUUCGGAUCUUGAAAAAGAAAAAAAAACUACCUUUCCCAGAUAUUUUUGCUAGGUGAAAUUGCUUUGUUUUUUGUAAAUGGCUUUGCUUGAUUUCUUUAGAAGGAAAAGCUAACUGGCUCUGAGAUGUGCUUAUAAAGGAUUUGGGUCUUGUAUAUCAACUGUGAAUAUUCCAAAAGACCCACGAUUUUAGGUCUCCACUACUGUACUGUACUGGAAAACAGGGUAACUUUUGAAAUAUAUGUCACAUUUCUAGGUUUAUUUCCUCAUUUGUAAAAUGAGAGGUUAGAAGGUAAGGGUUAAGAUCCCUUCAGCCACGCAUCCUAGAAUUCUCUGAUUUAUCACAAAUAGCUGGAGAUGUGCUUAUACCCCCAAAUAGCAUUGCCAGUGACGAGAUUUCAGACUCCUAGUCUAUUUAGCCUUUCUACUACAGUAUCACCAUUAUUUGGGAGUAAUCAUUAAAAUUAGUGAGGAAGGCCACAGUGUUUUUACACUUUAGUUACACAUCCUCUUCAUCAUAAAUAAGCAUAUUGAGGAAAUAUCUUUAUUUUCUGAC
ensembl:lncRNA